rnacentral:rRNA from 1 species
GACGGACGCUGGCGGCGUGCUUAACACAUGCAAGUCGAACGUGAUUUUUGUGAAAAUUCUUUUGGGAAUGGAAGCGAAAUGAAAGUGGCGAACGGGUGAGUAACACGUGAGCAACCUACCUUACACAGGGGGAUAGCCGUUGGAAACGACGAUUAAUACCGCAUGAGACCACAGAACCGCAUGGUAUAGGGGUCAAAGAUUUAUCGGUGUAAGAUGGGCUCGCGUCUGAUUAGCUAGUUGGAAGGGUAAAGGCCUACCAAGGCGACGAUCAGUAGCCGGUCUGAGAGGAUGAACGGCCACAUUGGAACUGAGACACGGUCCAAACUCCUACGGGAGGCAGCAGUGGGGAAUAUUGCACAAUGGGGGGAACCCUGAUGCAGCGACGCCGCGUGAGCGAAGAAGGUUUUCGAAUCGUAAAGCUCUGUCCUAUGAGAAGAUAAUGACGGUAUCAUAGGAGGAAGCCCCGGCUAAAUACGUGCCAGCAGCCGCGGUAAUACGUAUGUCGCAAGCGUUAUCCGGAUUUAUUGGGCGUAAAGCGCAUCUAGGCGGCAAGGAAAGUCUGAUGUGAAAAUGCGGAGCUCAACUCCGUAUGGCGUUGGAAACUGCCUUACUAGAGUACUGGAGAGGUAGGCGGAACUACAAGUGUAGAGGUGAAAUUCGUAGAUAUUUGUAGGAAUGCCGAUGGGGAAGCCAGCCUACUGGACAGAUACUGACGCUAAAGCGCGAAAGCGUGGGUAGCAAACAGG